GGGCAUGAAGCUGGGGCAGAGAAGUCAGUGAUACGCCUCAGUUGCCGCAUCGCCUUUGCUGGUGACUUAGCUAAAGAAAUCUUUUGUGUCCAACCGUGAGUGGGAACUUGUUUCACUGAGCUGUGCCUGGGAAAUCAAGGCCUCCUGGCAUUACCCAAAACCUUCCAGUGUUUCCUUGGACCAUUUUGCACCCUUAGCAAAAUGUGACCGAAAGUCCCAAACACUUUCCCGUCAUUAUAACCGUGAAACUCCUUUACCAAUCUUUUCUCCCAAUGAUUUUCUUUUAAACUAGCUGUCUCUGAACUUUUCACUUAUUUCUUCUCUUUCUGGUUACCUCCUUCAGUAAGUCCUCGUUCGGAGUCUUUGGUUACUGAAUUUUGAUCCUUGUUGAGUUAGCUGUGGUUUGGUUAGUGACUCAAAAUACUCAGCCACUUUCACCUCUUCAUAUUGCAAAAUCCCAUGCUUGAAAAUGGCAAGCAGUACACUUUUGAGGCCAGCAGUUAAGUGUCAGCGUGCCAGAAACAGCCUUGUGACAGGUGCUUGUUAUAAACCUACAGCCACAAUUUGCAGCGUUCCGCUAGCUCUGUCCCGUGACAAAGAGCAAUGCAAAACAAAAGCGUCGUUUCCCCCUGCAGUUCUAAACUUAAUUGUAUCUCCAGUAAAUUGAUUUUGAACUUUCAUCGAGAUAAAACCUGCAAAAAGUGGGUGGUGUGAGGUGAAUGGACUAAUAUGGUCAAAUGCUUAUUAAAAUGCAGCUUCCUCGGAGCAUUACUGCAUCCACCUCUGGAGCCCCCAGCUCAGGAAGGACAUGGUCCUUUUGGAUGGAGUCCAGAGGAGGCCACAAAGAUGAUCAGAGGGCUGGAGCACCUCUCCUGUGAAGGCAGGCUGCAGGGAGAGAACUGGGGAUGUUCAGCUGAAGAGAAGGGGGGCCUGCAGUGAAACCUUGCUGCAGCCUUCCAGAAUCUAUCAGGGCUGCAGGAGACCUGGGAAGGGACUGUUUAUCAGGACAUGUCGUGAUAGGACAAGGCGGAAUGGCUUCAAAGGUAGGUUUAGAUUAGAUGUUGGGGAGAUAUUUUUCACUGUGAGUUUGGCGAGGCACCAGAACAGGUUUCCCAGACAAACUGUAGAUGCCGCAUCCCUGGCAGCGUUCAAGGCCAGGAUGGAUGGGGCUUUGAGCAACCUGAUCUAGUGGAAGGUGUCCCUGCCCAUGGCAGGGGGGGUUGGAACUGGAUGACCUUUAAGGUCCCUUCCAACCCAAACCAUUCCAUGGUUAGAAUUAUCCUGGGUUGGGCUGACAGUCCAUGCAGGUCCAUAUCCUAUUGUCUAUAGGUGAAGCCUGAUGAAAUAAGGGCCUUGUUGCCCUUGUGAAAUCAUGGCUCAGGCCUGCUGCUUUGGCUAAGCAGAAGAGGACUGUGGGAGAGGGACUCGCCUGGAAUAGGGGGAGAGAGAGGUGAGAGUCAUGCUGCAGAGACUGCUGCAUGUCCCCAUUGUGGUGUAUGGUGAUUGGCUGACUUGGGCUUGUUGUGCCUUAAAACUGUGUGCACUGAUAACCAGCUAACUGCUAGAAAAGUCUUGUUUUUGCAAUAAGGUGGGCUUUUGAUGCUUGCCACCAUCUUCAGCGUCAGUCUUGUGUCCACCAUUAAAUGGUGACCCUGGAUGUGUUAGGGUCAGGACUGCAGACCUGAGAGCAGCCAGCGAUGGAGCUCAGUCAAGCAAAACAGGCAGACCUGAGAGCCUGAAAGUCUGGACGAUUUAAGAAAGCAGAGACUCCAGGUGAGCAACUGGGAUCAGAGACAUGGGGGCUCAAAUAUCAGCAGAAAAAAAAUCUGUUUUGAACAUUCUUUUGUGAAUAUUACAGAAGAGAGGUAUCACAUAUGAGAAGCGGGCGCUACGCACCUUGCUCAUUUGGUGCAAGAGAAAUAGGUGAGCGUGAAUGUACAGACUGAUGUACAGACUGCCUUUUUUUGUCAAAACAUGGGAGGAAGCAGGGCAAAUGUUAUGGAAAGCAGCUACAAAGGGGGAUGAAAUAGCCAGAAGACUGCAAACGAUGUGGGGCUUGAUUCGGGACUCAUUGCUGCAAUUAAAAGUUGAUAGGCAGAGGUUGCUGCCGCUGUCGUCACUGCCCAACUCAUGAGAGCUCCUCUGUUUAACACCCCCCCUUCCAAAAUUUGUUCUAUCUUCCUCUGCCUAUGAAUGACAGGAGGAAGGAUUAUGAUGAGGAAGAGGUCUGGCGCCAACAACAAAGCCCCACAGACCCAAAGCACCAGGAUGCUAGGUUGCAAUGACGGGAUGGACAGCAGCUUGGCAAGGCAGACCCUUACAGAUAUUACCGUCAUUUCUCCACACUGGAGCAGCUUUUAGUACAGGCAAACCUUGAACUUUAUCUGCAGUUGCUCUUCAAGACUUAGUUAUAAUUACAAUGUGAAAUUCCUCUGCAAAGGCAGACAAACUUAUCCCAGUGUUACCAGUUCGCUUGCUUUUUACCUCGCAGCUUUAACAAGGUCGAGGGUGGCUGCCUGCUCGUCUGGACAAACAUUGAUCACCUCUGAGAGGAUGAGGCCCAAUGAAAAGAAAAGUGACCUAAUCAGCAUCCAGCUCCUGUGGCCGAGGCAGGGGCAGAGGUAGGACUGCCAAAUCAUGGCUGUGUCUGGAGAAUUACAGGGGCCACCUGCCAACAGAGGUGUGUCAUCAUCAUGGUGUUGUGUUCCUACUAACCUUCUGCAGUCAUUCCCUGUUCCAGGCUUCCAAACAGACAGUCAGUGAUGUCAAAGUCAACAUUUCCAGCUGAUGGACUUCCUCCUGCCUAAACAGCGUGGCCCCUGAACUCCAACCAUAUGAACUUUAGAACGGUAGCCAUUUAUUUCCACUUCCUAGGAGAUCUUGGACAUUAUCCUUUUGUUCUUCUAUACUGUGAGUCUCUUUAUCAGUGGCCUGGUUGUAUUUGUUGGGUUUUAUUGAUUGUGAUCUGUAUUCCAUGUAUCUUAUCCUGUGUCCAGCAGAUGACCAAUAAUACUUUUAAUAAGGUAAUGGCCUUACAAGUGCAAACUGUUUUAACAUCAGGGUACACAAACCCUUUGCACAGAAAACAGAAAAGGGGGAAUUGUUUAGUUGAAGCCUGAUGAAAUAAGGGCCUUGUUGCCCUUGUGAAAUCAUGGCUCAGGCCUGCUGCUUUGGCUAAGCAGAAGAGGACUGUGGGAGAGGGACUCACCUGGAAUAGGGGGAGAGAGAGGUGAGAGUCAUGCUGCAGAGACUGCUGCAUGUCCCCAUUGUGGUGUAUGGUGAUUGGCUGACUUGGGCUUGUUGUGCCUUAGAACUGUGUACACUGAUAACCAGCUAACUGCUAGAAAAGCCUGGCUUUUGCAAUAAGGUGGGCUUUUGAUGCUUGCCACCAUCUUCAGCGUCAGUCUUGUGUCCACUGUUAGUACCCCACCUUGGGCAGUGCCAGCAGGAAAUGUCAGUUAGUGGAGGAAUGUGAGCUCUUCUGGCUGGUGCCAGGUGCAAGUUUCAUGUGCUCACAUAGACCUGUAGACUGGGAAUUAUGCAGCUUUACUUUUUACAAUUACCACUGGAAACUAUGGAGCUCUAAUCCAGUUGCUUCACAGAGGGAAACUUGUGUGACUUUUAUUAUCACAAUUUCCUGAAAUUACUGUUACACUAAUGGACUAAUCUUCCAGUACCACGUCUCCUACUGGAAUUGUGACUCUGUCUUACUGGAGUAACAAAAGUUAUUUUGCCCUGAAAAUGCCUUUUAUAAAUUAGUAUCUUUUAUACUCAUUUAAGUUAACAGGACCCACCUAGCAACUACAGACAAAUUUGGUAACUCAUAGGCAUUCUCUGAUUUCCACCGUAUGUAAAAGGAUUUUAAAUUGUCUUCAACUGAUUUUUGCAAAUUACUUCAGAAAUAUUGUUGGUGUGAGACAAAGGUAACUUACAUUUUUUGUUUUCUUUUGAGGUGAGGAGUAAUUAAGACCUCAGACAUCUGGACUGAUUUGCUGUAUUCAAAUGACAGUCUAAAACAAUUUUCUCAGCAUUUUGUCAUAGCUGACAAUUUCCCUCACUGUGUUGUUUGGGAGAACUUUUGGGCUUUGACCAGAUUUGGACAAGAAUAGCAGAUAAUGAUAAUGCCCAUGUAUCUGUGUAUCUCUCUAUACACAUACACAUCUAAAUCUAUUUUUCAGAAGACUUUACCCAUGUGUUGUUUGGGGUUUUUAAAGAAUUAUAAAUCCAUUUACUGGCCCUUUGACCAUUUCCAGUGGCCAUGACAGCUGUGCUCUGUGCAAUUCCUCUUUCCCUCUUUCCCACACCACCUCCCCCUGGUGUGCUGUGCAUUAUCUGCUGCUGGGGCACACCUUGGAGCAGGUAUCAGCCCUGAGGUGACUUCCAGUCGUGUGAAUAUCACCUUUGGCCAUGGGUCUGUAAAAGUGUCUGUGUCCCCAUGGUCACACAGGUGUGCUGCAGAUCGACUGCCAGUGCACAAAGGGACCAAAAAUUUAUCGUUAACAUUGCUACAAACACAAUUAUCACUUGAUUCCUCAAAUACUUUAGAGACAAUGCAGAAAAGUCUCCUGUUGCCAGCUCAGCUGCCAGUCUCAAUCUCCACCAGAAGAUCAGAAUUUGCUAACUUCAGGCUUGGGCUUUUUCAAUUAUUACUCACAUCUUCCCAGUUUUUGUGCUGGUUUUUUUUUUCCCCCUUAGUGUAUACAUGACGUAGAUCACGGAAGUGACCAUUUUCUGACCCAGACUGUCAGUCAAAAAUGGUACCAUUUUCCUCAGGCACACUGCACUGAAACAGAAGUCAGUGGUAAGGAGUUAUUGGUGCAGUUUGCAAAAGCAACUCCUGUUGAUCAUUUAGGUGAUUGGGUUCACUCCUCCCUCAAGCUUUCCUCACACAAGAGUCUUCUGAGCAUUUUGCCCAUCCACAGCUUUCUGGAUAUUUCCAUCCAGAGGUAUUGACCUAUCAAGGUGAGUCACACCUGAUGGAACUGGUUUUGACAGUGAUGGUUAUUACCCUCACUGCCAUUCAGGCUCAGCAAUUAUGGGAUAAUUUGUCUUCUGAAAUCCCAAGUCUUGCAACAGAAUGAAAGAUCUUCCAUCAGGCACUGCAAAUCAUCUUUGGAAGUUUUUGUUCAUCAUAUUUGCUCCACCUCUAACAACAUUUUAAAUCCAAGGAGCUUUAUGCUGAGAAGAUCCUUGUCACUGGUUCCUUUUCUUGUGAAAUGGGAAGCGCCCUGUUGUUCUGGGCAGUGCUUCUGUAUAUUUCAUCUUCACAAGCUCUGAAUGCAUGAUUGCUUUUUAUUGCUACUGAACAACCUUUGAGUAAACAUGAAUCACUCUUUAUGGCACCAAAUUUGAAAUGUUUCCUUACCAGCUACGUAGAUUAUCUGCCCAGGUAGGAAUUUGAUAAUGAUCUGUAGUGCACAUAACAUUUUAAAAUAGAACAAGCUUGUUUUUUACACACUGCUACUGUCCCUGCUGUCAUGGGGAAAAAAAAAAAAUCCCUUUCUGGUAUGGAUUCCAAGUGUAACAAAUUACACAUGUUUUUGAGCUACUUGUAAGACCUUUGAUCCAUUUAAUUAUUUCAUAUAUCUGUAAAUUCAAUUGUACCUUCCUUCUGCUACAAAGCAAAACCCAGUGAUUAUUUUGGGAUUAUUUCUGGACUCCUUAUAUUUUUCUUCAUUAAAACUAGUGAUCUGAACAGUCAAGGAAUAGCAUCGUGGAUGUUGCUGUAAGUUUGUUUGGCUAAAGAAGCCCCAGCACAGUAGGUGGCGAAGAUGGGUGGAUGUGAGGCUGCACAUUGAAUGGCUGCUGUCUUCAGCAGGGAAGUGUUUCCCUAAGGGUGCAGGGGAUCUCCAAAGAGGGUCAUUAUUAAGAAGCCAUCAGGGAUUUGCAGACCAAUCUACAGGGCUGUUGAAUGCCUUCUCUCUUGCUACUGAUGUAGCUUGCCAGGCAGCAGUGGUGUCUGUCCCAAAUAAGCAGCAAGAGCAUGUCCAUGUACACAAUUCCAUUCUUUCAUAUCCCCAGGAGGCUGAUUCUCAGUGUAGGUCUUCAUUUGUACCUUGUAGGAGCAGUGUGGCUGCAGAGAACCACUCUGGUGAAGCAAAAGGGAGCCCCAGGGGAAAACUGAAGCUCUGUGUGCUAUCUGUACCUUUUAGCAUGAAAGAUGGGAGACUACUGGGCAGAAUCAUGAAAAUAAAAUAUUGUAGGACUGAGAAAGUCCUGCUGGAGACUGGGUGGAGGGAACCCAGUCUCUCUUCCCAGGAGAAUGAAGUCAAGGUGAGUGGACCCCAGAAGACUUAUCUGGCAAACCUGAAUUAGCUUCUGAAAAAUGUAGCUGACUCCCAUCUGUCAUCCAUAUUUCAGGGUAAGGGAUAUUGUUUCUUGGAAAUGGUGUAUGAGGCAGGGUGCUGAAGAAGCCCAGUGACCCAGACUCUUUAGCCACACAACUUUGUGUCCAAGCCAGCUGCCAUCUUCAUUACUUGUGACCCGUUGUCCUGCACGAGAGAAUCAGAGUCACCAAACUCUACUGCACAUCCUCUCAUGGAGGAUCUCCCAGCCAGAUCCACAGCUCCCCAGACACUGAUCUCAUUCCAGGCCUGCUGCUAUGGGACCAAGUGUGGGAAUGGCCAGAUCAAAAUUCCCACCCACUGGCGCAGCUAAGCUAACACACAUCUGGAAGCUGGGUGGACAGUCCAGGCUGGAACAGCAGCCAGCAAACCUAUAGGACUGGUUCUGCAUCUGCCUUGUCCUGAGGGGCAAUUAAUAAGUGGGCAAUCAAGAUGGAGCCUCUUUGACGUCCCCCCACCCUCCCCUGCUCUCCCCAUGUGAAAUCUUCAAUUUCCUCAUUCCAGCCCGAACAAUAUAACCAUUAUCACAGCCACCUGACUCCUUGGCUCUCUGUCCCCACCCCUUUCCUGAUCUCUCCUGCCUGUUCCUGGAGAUCAGAGGCAGAAGCAGCCACCUCAGACCAGUUUUUCAUCCGGCAGCUGCUGCUCCCCAGCCAACAGAGAUGGCAGGGCUGGGGCUGGUCCCCUGCGAGCCCAAGGCAGCAGCUGCCUCUGCACAGCUCGGUGGACACAGGUGCUCCCUGCUGCCUGCCUGCAGCUUUACCAGAGCUGGUGACAGGACAGCCUUGCUUAUGUUCAGCUUGAUUUUUGACACUGCCUCGUGUGAUUCUCCACAUGCCCUCCCCAGGCACUCCCAUCCCAGUGGUUUCAUGUUGCUUCUGCUUCUCGGCUCUGCUGAUGGUGAUCUCUCCUCUGGAAUACAAGCCAAAACCUAUACCCUUGAAAAGGGAAUCCAAAUGUAAUUAAGCCCUUAAGAAGAAAAGUCAAUCUAUAAAUCCUGAUUCUUUUCUGGGCAAGGCCAGAUUUCAUAGCCAAAUGGCCCAAGGGAGCACCUCCCACCACACCCUUCUCAAAAGGAGGAGCAGAAGGCAUCACCCCCACUUUCCAGUCUCCCUUUUAUUUGUUCCAAUGUUCAAUUCAUUCUUCUGCUUGAGAGGUUUUAUGUCUUCCCUUGCAAGAUCUCAGGCUAGCAGUGACGCAAUGGUCUGGAAAUGGUCUGAAAGGUCUGGAAUGGCCCAGGAGGCAAAGAACCUAAAUUUUGUUCAAGCUGUAGCUUGAUAAAUUCAAGUGAAGCAUUAGGUUACAAGAUACUCUUUGGUGUUGUCUUGGUUUUUAUAAUGAAGUAAUCUCAAGUUUGUCCUCUGUAGGACUCAGAAUAUCUGGAUCCAUUAAUAUUAUAUUUUUUUUGUUUGUUUCAUCCUUUUAAGCAGAAAAGGUUGGCCAACAAAACGUGAAUUGUAGUCAAGCCAUGUGACUACUUCUAGUGAUAGUGAGAAGAGUGAGUUUUCUUCAUUAUAAUCACUCUUCCAUUCUGUCAUUUCUUCUUUUAACUCUGUAUUAAGAUUUCAGCUACUUCAGAUACAUCUCAUGUACCAAGAAGUUUGUACACCUUGGUGAAUUUUGGGGUUGGGAAGGGAUUUGCAUUAAGUGAGACACAGAGGUUGUUUUUUUAGAGAAAGAAUCUUCCUCUGUACCUUGAAAAAUGGUCCACUUCAAGGGGUCUGAGGCUUUUUGUCUUUCAUAUCCCCUGCCAGUAAAGAAUCUCAAAGUAUUUGCUCCUGGUAUGAGGAUGUGUAUGUUUAUCAGGAAUUGAUCUUUCAUGCUAAGGACUUAAUAAAAUGUUGAUGGUAUUUCAUGGGAGGAUGGGUCUGUUAGGAUGAUGUAGGUAUGUACAGAAAUAUUAAAGAAGGGAAACCAGCAAUUUGUAAAGAAACCAAUACUAAAUGAAACACAGGGUUCAGAACUGUUUUAAAAAUGGAAAAGAAAAUUAUAAAAAGCAGGAUUGAAAACAAGGGAAGAAGAGGGAGCUGAGUGGGAAGAACAGUAGUGAAUGAACUCAAAAAGAGAAGAAAGUUGUGCCCUCCUUCUCUGCCAGCUGCACCUGGAUAUGGUGGGAAAUCAGUGCCACCACCCCACAGAGCCCUCUGCCACUGCCCUUCAUUUGUCCCUGACCCCUUUUGCCUCCUCUUGUCACCACACCACUACCUGCUGGGGCAGGGUUGCUGUUCCCUCUUACUCAUCGCUCACCCUCUCUGUGACAUUCCAGUGCCCAGCACUGAUGACCUAUAACAGCACCUGCCCCAGCUGUUUUCUGCUGCGUGUCCAAAAGUGUCACCCCUUUCACAUUUUCAUCACCUUGAAUUCAUUCCUGUCACAUUUUGCCAUCCUCAGUCACUAGGCACGCUCAUGGGAUGAAAAAUGGGGCGAACACCUUUGCUUGUGGGCUACAGAAACAAUUGUCCAGUGGGGUAAGAGAAGUUCCAAAAAGCAUCUGGGGUUGUUUACAACUGGAAAAGUAGAGAAACUUUGUAAUGUUGCAUAUAGAAAGGCAGUAAGCUGGGUCAAACAAGGAACAGCUAGGAAAAGGAAUCAAAAUUAACAGAUCUCUCUUGAAACGCAUCAGGCACCUGCCAGAUGUUCUGAAGGGCAAAACAGUGAUCAGGCUGUGCAGGGAGUGCCCAGGGGAGAUAAGGCCAUCACAGACACCUCUGCAGCCUGUGUGAAGCGCCGAGUGAUGAGAUCAGGGUGGCAGAACCCAUUCUUCAGCAGGGUGGGGUUUGCCAGCCAACGUGUCUGAAACUGAAGCGGCUGCCGGAAAAGGCUGUUCUACACUGACAAAGCAAACAGUAACAACUUGCUGGGAGCAAUGGCACUUGUCCAAGAGUCUUAAAGGAUCUCUGGAGUAAAAUGGCUGAAACUGCUCCGAGCAGUGUGUAACCCAAUGUCUGCCCCCAAUGUCGUGCCUCAGGAGGGGACAGAGUUGAACGUGAUGCCCCAGUUUGGCCAGGGGCAGGUGGUGGAACAGUUUCUGGGGCUUGUUUGGGCUUCAGAUGAAUAAAAAAGAUGAGAGAUUAGCACAGCUAGAGACUAAGAGAGUCUGGAGCAGCCUGGCACACUGCUCCAUGGUGCUUAUGUCCCCAGCAGGACAUCCAUACUGUCCUCUGCCAACCUGACAGUAUGUGUGCUCUGGUCCACUCCUGAAGGUUUGGAUGCAUGCUUGGGUGAAUGCUGCCUGUGGUACUGGAGCCUGCCAGGACUUGUGGAGUGGUUGGCUCUUGCUGCAAGACAAAAGAUAUGUGGUGGUCCAGGUGCUUUGACCCAGCUCCUGGUGAAGGGGACAGCAGCAGUGACAGAGGGAUGUGCUUGUGUCUCUUUCCUUUCUCCUUUCCUGAUUCAGGAGAAGGAGCUCCCAAUGCUGCAACCUUCCUGAGGACAAGGGUGAGGAUGUUCCCCAUUCCUCUGCUGUUUCUCCUCACCAGGGGCUGCUGCCAACUGCUGCUGCUCCUGGAGCCUGAAAUCAGCCCUCUCCACUCCAGAUGGGCUUUUUGAAUUUCUUGGUUAAUUUUUAAUCCGGAGAGAAUAUCUGCUAUUUUUCAGCAUCUGCUCAUCACUCAUUGAAGGAAAUGCAUGGGUACCCACCUGGGUGUGCUGGGAGAAGUGGAAUUUUCAACUGGGACUUGGAAGGAGGAGCAUGCUUUUGCAGUGGGUGGGAGCUGGAUUGACUUAAUGUUGUACAUCAUGCUCUGGAGGGAAGCAUGAGUCCCGUGUUUUGUCUGGGACACAAUUCAGAACUGGAGGCCUUGAGAAAUAAAAAGACUGAUCCUUUUUUUUUUUUUUUUUUGGUGUGUGGUUUCUGUUUGUUUGUGGGGUUUUUGAGAGGCAGAGAAUAUGAAAUGCUACAGGCACUUUGUUGUCCAUUGUAGCUUAUCACUGCUCAUGUUACUGAAGUCCAGGUGAAGGACAUGUCAGAGAAAGUGUUCCAUGCAGAAGACUGGUGUCACUAGGAGAAGCAAACACGCAGCACUAGUGAGGACGUGUCUCUGGUCAGAAUUCUGUACUCUUCAGGGAGCUGUAUCCUUGUAACCCUUCAGACCCCAUAAAGGGUUCUUUGCAGUCUGAUCUGUGAUGAACUUGGCAGUUACAUGUGAGGGUGAGCACAACUCUCAAGGCUUCUGACAUUUUCAGAGGUGCCAGGAAUCAGAGAAUGGUUUGGGCUGUCAGGGACCUUAAAGAUCAUCUAGUCCCACCCCAUUGGGCAGGGUCACCUUUCACUGGGCCAGGCUGCUCAGAGCUCCAUCCAGCAUUCUCACGUGUUUCUGGAGUGACACCUCUGCAGCUUGAAAAGCAAUCCUUGGUGAGCCAUGUCUUUCCUGUGGUGCACGUACACUGAAUUCCAGUGUCACCGAGGUGGCAGGUGUGUGGCUGGUGGGGGCCAGCACACUGACCUGGAGGGUUGGGAGUGGCCUCUCCUGUUCUUGUGUCUGCCAAGUUCCAGAAAAGGGCUUUGGCUGAACACGGUGCCUGUGCUGCUGUUCGUGUGCUGCCCACAGCUCUGGAAGCACUGCAGAAUGUGUGGUUGUGAUAUAACGUGAGGUUGAAGCAAACACAGUUUAUUUAAAUUAUUUACCUCUGCUCAGUGUAUGCUUUCUUGGAGGCAGCUGAGCUUCAGCUCUGUUCAUAAAAUGCUUCUAAACCAAUGUAGUUAAACUGCUGAAUCUAUUUUGCUAACUAAAAUUGAAUGAGCAUAAUCAAACACAUGGAACCUAUGGGGAAAAUAUAAUCUUGAGCUUUGCUUUACUCUUUGAAAAAAUAUCUGCUCUUUUAAUACCACCUUAGAUGUUCUGGCUUGUCCAUAUCCACAAAACAAUGCAGCCACAGCCUCCAAGUAAUCUUUGUUGGCUCGAGUGCAAAGAACUUAAUCUUUUGUUUUGCACGUUGACAAAACCUGUAUAAAAUUUAGUAUCCUAUAUCCAACAAUUCUACUAAGGAGUUAGUUUUAAACGCCUAAAUUUAAUAUUUAUUUGCACUGACACAGUGUGCCUUACAAUGGGCUGGUGUGCCCAGCAGCUAAUCAGAUGAUGACCAGAUUCCUGCUCCUCGAUCCACGUGGCCAGGCAGUGAUGCCAUGUGGCACUUGGCCACGGCACAUUUGACCUUGGAAGGCAGCGUGGCUGUCUCCCAGAGAAGCAGAAGGACUAAUAUUAUUUAUCUCUGUCUUCUUAAUGCAAUCAAGUUUAUAUUUGAUGCACUCUUAGUCUCAGUGACAUUUUACGUAAUAAGUGUUUCAUAUUUAAAAUUGAAUGAAUAUUGCUGUUAAGCACAAGGUCACCUUGUUUAUCAGUGAGUAUUACUUUUUUCUGCUUCAGAGUAUCUACUUCACUUGUUUUCAUGAUUUAAAUCCAGCUUGAGACCUUCAGGGAUGCAGUAAUUGCAGACUCUAGUGGGGAGUAUCAGAGAGCAGGUAGUGAAACAAAAUCAAAUGCCAUGGUAUAUUUCUCCUUAUGAGGAAUAUGGCCACUCCUAAUGCAUUUCUUCCAUAUCUCCAAUAUUUUCCCUUCCUUCCAAGUCAGUUUAUGGGCCAAAAAGGCAGACAAACUGCCAGCUCUCAUUUCUGGUGUAAUGCAAACCUUGGAAUUUUACCCAGCGCCUCUUUUCACUGAUGUAAUUAAUUUUUUAAAAAUGUUACUGUUUUUAUGAAAGGACAGCUUGAAAAAACUAUCCUGACCUUUAUCUGAAUACCUUGAAAGACAGUCUGCCCCUUUGGCUGACUGCUAGCUAGGACAGUCACCAUCACUGUGGGGGAUGUGAUGUCUUGCUCUGCUCUGAACGUGCCUGCACAAAACUCGCAGUGGUUGAUUCUCACUUUGCUGCACAGGUGAGGGUGCCACCAGCACUCCAUGUUUUCUGUGCUGUGACUGAGAGAUACUGGUUUAGCUAGACCAGAGCAAUGGCUCAGAGUGUCCCCUGCCAGGCGUUGUCUGACCUUCCUAAUUGCUCCUGUCAUUUUGCUCUGGACCCUCUCCAGGCUUUCAGGAUAAUGAAGAGCCGUGUGGGCGGCUGCUCUGUGGGUGGGUGCUGCAGCUUCAGCCUUUGCUGGGCUUUCAACUCCGCGAUGUCAGUCACAGGUGACUUCUCCAGUGGCUGCCAGCGAGGCUCCUGCUCCUGGCAGCUUGUCCUUCCUCGCUGUCUGCACAGCAGCCAGGGGUCAGCUCCCACCUGGGGGUAUCUGGGGCUGUCCGAGUCCAGCUCCCGUGAGUCCUGAGCCAGAACAGCAGCACCAAAAGUGAAGAGGAAAGGAUUUGAGCAAAAACUGCUUCCACCAGCAGCUACACUGUGCCCCUGGUCACUCUUAAGUGUUCCCAUAGGUCAGACAAUUCAGAGGGAUUCAAGGAUUGAACGGAGGGAGUGUGGUGGUGCGGGACCUGAAGAGCCUCCACUAACACCCGUGAGCAUCCUGUCUUGGCUGAGGAUGUUCACCUGGCCGGGUGACUCGUGCUCAUCUGAAGGGCUCCCUCUCCUUUAGCUACUGACCUUGACAAUUGCAAAUUUUAUCAACAAAGAUUUUACAGUUGUAUCUCCUGGUGCAAUUAUUGAACAGCACAGCUCUUGCAGAGAGACACACAUUUUCAGCAGUGAUUGGUGCUUCUUUUUGGGCAAUGAAGCUUUGCCUGUUAGCUGCUAAUUAAUCCAUGUAAUGCAAAUUGUGAUGUAUACAGAUGCUAUCCUUUUGUUCUUCAGAAUUUACAAGUUUCUUGAUUUGUUUUCACCAGUGCUUUCAUCAACCAAAUGUAUUAUUUUGUCAAAGAAUGAAGUCACGUUUGUUUCUCACAAUGUUUUUUUUUAAUACUAAAUUAUGAAAAUUAUUUUAAUUGUUGGAGCAUUUGCUAGCUGAUUUGUAAUAACUUCACCCUCUCUUACCUAUGAUUAUUAAAACAGAACCAUCUAACAGUCAGGUGUCAUCUCACUUUCUGUCUCUGGACACUGGCACAUGUUUUUCCAAGACCUCCGGAUUUUUCUAGUACACCAGGACUUUUAAAUACCAAACUCCAUUGGGCCAGGUGCCUCCUCAGUGAAAUAUUUCUAUGAUUUUGAGAUGCAUAUUUGCUUCAAAUACUGAUCUGAAAAGACUUAUGCUUAGUAGAUGUUGUUAAAACUUUUCUUAAUUUGCAGAAAGAUUUUUAUGAUCCUCUUGUAGUGUGAAUACACAAAUUCAUUUAUUUUUGCAUGCAAAUGACUAACUUUUCUGUAUCAAGAAGCCUCCAUCAAAAGUGAUCAUUAUCAACAGUUUUACCUUUAGCCACCCAGUGAGAGCCUAGGCUCUCACUGCUAUUUCUUAGUUUUCAAUAUAUUUUGAAAAAAGCUG